UACAGGCAACGAUGAAUAGCUGGCCUGAGAGGGUGAUCAGCCACACUGGGACUGGGACACGGCCCAGACUCCUACGGGAGGCAGCAGUGGGGAAUAUUGCGCAAUGGGGGAAACCCUGACGCAGCGACGCCAUGUGAGGGAUGAAGGCUUUCGGGUCGUAAACCUCUGUCAGGAGGGAAGAAAAUGUUUGUGGUUAAUACCCACUUUCCCUGACGGUACCUCCAGAGGAAGCCCCGGCUAACUCCGUGCCAGCAGCCGCGGUAAUACGCAGGGUGCAAGCGUUAUUCGGAAUCACUGGGCGUAAAGCGCGCGAAGGCGGCCUGAUAAGUCAGGUGUGAAAGCCCUCGGCUCAACCGUGGAAUGGCACUUGAAACUGUCAAGCUUGAGUAUAGGAGAGGAUGGCGGAAUUCCUUGUGUAGAAGUGAAAUCCGUAGAGAUCUGGAGGAACACCAGUGGCAAACGCAGCCAUCUGGACGAUAACUGACGCUGAGGUUCGAAAGCGUGGGGAGCCAACAGGAUUAGAUACCCUGGUAGUCCACGCCGAAAACGAUGUAUGCUAGAUGUCGGACAA
rnacentral:rRNA from 1 species